GUGUCAGCAGCCGCGGUAAUACAGAGGUCCCAAGCGUUGUUCGGAUUCACUGGGCGUAAAGGGUGCGUAGGUGGCCGGGUAAGUCUGACGUGAAAUCUCCAAGCUCAACUUGGAAACUGCAUCGGAUACUAUCCGGCUCGAGGAUCGGAGGGGAGACUGGAAUGCUUGGUGUAGCAGUGAAAUGCGUAGAUAUCAAGCGGAACACCAGUGGCGAAGGCGAGUCUCUGGACGAUUCCUGACGCUGAGGCACGAAAGCCAGGGGAGCAAACGGGAUUAGAUACCCCCGUAGUCC
rnacentral:rRNA from 1 species